CUGGCUCAGGAUGAACGCUAGCUACAGGCUAACACAUGCAAGUCGAGGGGCAGCAUAAUCGAAGCUUGCUUGAUGAUGGCGACCGGCGCACGGUGAGUAACGCGUAUCCAACCUUCCCCUUAGUAGGGCAUAGCCCGGCGAAAGUCGGAUUAAUACCCUAUGUUAUCCGUUGAGGACAUCUGAAGUGGAUUAAAGAUUUAUCGCUAAGGGAUGGGGAUGCGUCUGAUUAGGUUGUUGGCGGGGUAACGGCCCACCAAGGCAACGAUCAGUAGGGUUCUGAGAGGAAGGUCCCCCACAUUGGUACUGAGACACGGACCAAACUCCUACGGGAGGCAGCAGUGAGGAAUAUUGGUCAAUGGACGGAAGUCUGAACCAGCCAAGCAGCCGUGCAGGAAGACUGCCCUAUGGGUUGUAAACUGCUUUUAUACGGGGAUAAAGUCAGGGUCGUGACCCUGUUUGCAGGUACCGUAUGAAUAAGGACCGGCUAAUUCCGUGCCAGCCGCCGC
rnacentral:rRNA from 1 species